AACUUUCAACAAUGGAUCACUUGGCUCUCACAUCGAUGAAGAACGCAGCGAAAUGCGAUAAGUAGUGUGAAUUGCAGAAUUCAGUGAAUCAUCGAAUCUUUGAACGCACCUUGCGCUUCUUGGUAUCCAUUCCAAGAAGCAUGUCUGUUUGAGUGUUAUAAAAUUCUCAAAUUAUGCCUUCAACUUUCAAUAGUUCAGGUUUAAUUUGGAUCGUGGAAGUUGCUGGCUUUCAAGUCUGCUCUUCUUAAAUAUAUUAGCAAAAGUCUGAUUUGCUUGUUUUUGGUAUGAUAAUCACUUCUACCAUUGACAUCAAUCUUUUAUUAUAAAAGGAACUCUUGCUUCUUAAUUGUCUAUUGAGACAACUUUUGAAAAUUUGACCUCAAAUCAGAUAGGACUACCCGCUGAACUUAAGCAUAUCAAUAAGCGGAGGCU
rnacentral:misc_RNA from 1 species